GUGGGCCAACCUACCCUUUAAGACCGGGGAUAAACACCUUNGAAGGGGUUGNUAAUAUUGGAUAAGUUCUUUUUAGGGCAUCUUAUGAGGAGGGAAGGUAGCGGGAGCUACCGCUUAAGGAUGGGCCCGCGUCCCAUCAGCCAGUUGGUAGGGUAACGGCCUACCAAGGCGACGACGGGUAGCCGGCCUGAGAGGGUGGUCGGCCACACUGGGACUGAGACACGGCCCAGACUCCUACGGGAGGCAGCAGUGGGGAAUCUUGCGCAAUGGGCGAAAGCCUGACGCAGCGACGCCGCGUGAGCGAGGAAGGCCUUCGGGUCGUAAAGCUCGAUAGUGUGGGAAGAAGGGAUGACGGUACCACACGAAAGCCCCGGCUAACU
rnacentral:rRNA from 1 species